rnacentral:rRNA from 1 species
AAUAGUUAAAACUUUCAACAACGGAUCUCUUGGUUCUGGCAUCGAUGAAGAACGCAGCGAAAUGCGAUAAGUAAUGUGAAUUGCAGAAUUCAGUGAAUCAUCGAAUCUUUGAACGCACAUUGCGCCCUCUGGUAUUCCGG